rnacentral:rRNA from 1 species
GAUGAACGCUGGCGGCGUGCCUAAUACAUGCAAGUCGAGCGAACAGACGAGGAGCUUGCUCCUCUGACGUUAGCGGCGGACGGGUGAGUAACACGUGGAUAACCUACCUAUAAGACUGGGAUAACUUCGGGAAACCGGAGCUAAUACCGGAUAAUAUAUUGAACCGCAUGGUUCAAUAGUGAAAGACGGUUUUGCUGUCACUUAUAGAUGGAUCCGCGCCGCAUUAGCUAGUUGGUAAGGUAACGGCUUACCAAGGCAACGAUGCGUAGCCGACCUGAGAGGGGGGUCGGCCACACUGGAACUGAAACCCGGACAAGCCCCCUCGGGGAGGCACAAGUGGGAAUUCUUCAGCAUGGGGCGAAGGCCGGACGGGGCAACGCCGCGUGAGAAAUAAGGGUCUUCGUAUCGAAAAACUUUGUUAUUGGGGAAAAAAAAAUGUGUAAGUAACUAUCCACUUCUUGACGGUACCUAAUCAAAAAACCACGGCUAGCUACGUC